GACGAACGCUGGCGGCGUGCUUAACACAUGCAAGUCGAACGGGCCUUGUCCCCUUUUUUUUUGGGGGUGGGGUUAGUGGCGAACGGGUGAGUAACACGUGAGUAACCUGCCCCUCACUUCUGGAUAACCGCUUGAAAGGGUGGCUAAUACGGGGUGUUCUGGCCUGCUCGCAUGGGUGGGUUUGGAAAGAUUCGACCGGUUUUGGUUGUUUUGGUGGGGGAUGGGCUCGCGGCCUAUCAGCUUGUUGGUGGGGUGAUGGCCUGCCAAGGCUUUGACGGGUAGCCGGCCUGGGAGGGUGGGCGGUCACACUGGGACUGAGACACGGCCCAGACUCCUAAGGGAGGCAGGAGUGGGGAAUAUUGCACGAUGGGCGCAAGCCUGAUGCAGCGACGCCGCGUGAGGGAUGGAGGCCUUCGGGUUGUGAACCUCUUUCGCCAGUGAAGAAGGUCCUGCUCUUUGUGGUGGGGUUGACGGUAGCUGGGUUAAUGAAGCGCCGGCUAACUACGUG
rnacentral:rRNA from 1 species